rnacentral:rRNA from 1 species
GAUCCUGGCUUAGGAUGAACGCUAGCGACAGGCUUAACACAUGCAAGUCGAGGGGCAGCAUAAAAGUAGCAAUACUUGGUGGCGACCGGCGCACGGGUGAGUAACGCGUAUGCAACCUACCUAUCAGAGGGGAAUAACCCGGCGAAAGUCGGACUAAUACCGCAUAAAACAGGGACACCGCAUGGUGAUAUUUGUUAAAGAAAUUCGCUGAUAGAUGGGCAUGCGUUCCAUUAGGUAGUUGGUGAGGUAACGGCUCACCAAGCCGACGAUGGAUAGGGGAACUGAGGGGUUGGUCCCCCACACUGGUACUGAGACACGGACCAGACUCCUACGGGAGGCAGCAGUGAGGAAUAUUGGUCAAUGGGCGAGAGCCUGAACCAGCCAAGUCGCGUGAAGGAAGAAGGAUCUAUGGUUCGUAAACUUCUUUUGCAGGGGAAUAAAGUGCAGGACGUGUCCUGUUUUGUAUGUACCCUGAGAAUAAGGAUCGGCUAACUCCGUGCCAGCCGCGGC